CACGUAGGGUGCGAGCGUUGUCCGGAAUUAUUGGGCGUAAAGAGCUCGUAGGCGGUGUGUCGCGUCGGCCGUGAAAACCUGCAGCUUAACUGUGGGCUUGCGGUCGAUACGGGCAUCACUGGAGUUCGGCAGGGGAGACUGGAAUUCCUGGUGUAGCGGUGAAAUGCGCAGAUAUUGGGAAGAACACCGGUGGCGAAGGCGGCUCUCUGGACCGUAACUGACGCUGAGGCGCGAAAGCGUGGGGAGCAAACAGG
rnacentral:rRNA from 1 species